UACGAAGGGGGCUAGCGUUGCUCGGAAUCACUGGGCGUAAAGCGCACGUAGGCGGAUUGCUAAGUCAGGGGUGAAAUCCUGGAGCUCAACUCCAGAACUGCCUUUGAUACUGGCGACCUUGAGUCCGGGAGAGGUGAGUGGAACUGCGAGUGUAGAGGUGAAAUUCGUAGAUAUUCGCAAGAACACCAGUGGCGAAGGCGGCUCACUGGCCCGGAACUGACGCUGAGGUGCGAAAGCGUGGGGAGCAAACAGG
rnacentral:rRNA from 1 species